rnacentral:lncRNA from 1 species
GUAGAUGUUUACUUUAAUAAUGUGUUUACUUGAGGUAAAAGAUUGGAAACCAAUAGCUGCCCUUGAAUAAAAAGAAAAGGAGAAGCUCGGUGAAGAAAUGUCGCAUGAACCUCUUACUUAUGAUAUGUUUUUGAAUUAUUGGAAUGCCAUGCGAUUAGAAGACUUGCAAGCCUUUUCAAAUGUUUUUUUUAUUGUGCAAAGAUCUAGGAGCUAUUAGGGCGUGUUUGGUUUGUGAUUGAAAUUAGAAUCGAAAUUAGAAUAGAUUAAAAUGAAAAUCAGAAUGACCAUAUCUUUCAAUGUGUUUGGUUCAUGA